rnacentral:rRNA from 1 species
GACGAACGCUGGCGGCGUGCUUAACACAUGCAAGUCGAACGGAAAGGCCUGCUUUCCCUUGUGGAUUGCGGGUACUCGAGUGGCGAACGGGUGAGUAACACGUGAGUGAUCUGCCCCCAACUUGGGUAUAAGCCUGGGAAACUGGGUCUAAUUCCCGAUAGGACUGCAGGGUGGUGCCUGUGGUGGAACACGAUUUUCUAGUGGUUGGGGAUGAGCUCGCGGCCUAUCAGCUUGUUGGUGGGGUAAUGGCCUACCAAGGCGGCGACGGGUAGCCGGCCUGAGGGGGUGGACGGCCACAUUGGGACUGAGAUACGGCCCAGACUCCUACGGGAGGCAGCAGUGGGGAAUAUUGCACAAUGGGCGGAAGCCUGAUGCAGCGACGCCGCGUGGGGGAUGACGGCCUUCGGGUUGUAAACUCCUUUCGACCGCGAGGAAGCCACCUGGUUGGAAGGGUGGUGACGGUAGUGGUAGAAGAAGCACCGGCUAACUACGUG